AUCUGUGAAGCAGCUCCUCUGUCCUCCUGUGGCAACGCUCCACACAGCAUCGAGCGGGAGGACAGGGGAGCUGCUUCACAGAU